rnacentral:rRNA from 1 species
UACGUAGGGGGCUAGCGUUGUCCGGAAUCAUUGGGCGUAAAGCGCGCGUAGGCGGCCAGAUAAGUCCGGUGUGAAAGCCACAGGCUCAACCUGUGAAUGCCGCUGGAAACUGUCUGGCUAGAGUCCGGGAGGGGCGAGUGGAAUUCCUGGUGGUAGCGGUGAAAUGCGCAGAUAUCAGGAGGAACACCAAUGGCGAAGGCAGCUCGCUGGAACGGAACUGACGCUGGAGGCGACGAAAGCGUGGGGAGCGAACAGGA